CAAGUCGAACGAUGAACCCGGAGCUUGCUCCGGCGGAUUAGUGGCGAACGGGUGAGUAACACGUGAGUAACCUGCCCUUGACUCUGGGAUAAGCGUUGGAAACGACGUCUAAUACCGGAUACGACGCGCGAAGGCAUCUUCUGCGCGUGGAAAGAAUUUCGGUCAAGGAUGGACUCGCGGCCUAUCAGCUAGUUGGUGAGGUAACGGCCCACCAAGGCGACGACGGGUAGCCGGCCUGAGAGGGUGACCGGCCACACUGGGACUGAGACACGGCCCAGACUCCUACGGGAGGCAGCAGUGGGGAAUAUUGCACAAUGGGCGCAAGCCUGAUGCAGCAACGCCGCGUGAGGGACGACGGCCUUCGGGUUGUAAACCUCUUUUAGUAGGGAAGAAGCGAAAGUGACGGUACCUGCAGAAAAAGCACCGGCUAACUACGUGCCAGCAGCCGCGGUAAUACGUAGGGUGCAAGCGUUAUCCGGAAUUAUUGGGCGUAAAGAGCUCGUAGGCGGUUUGUCACGUCUGCUGUGAAAACUGGAGGCUCAACCUCCAGCCUGCAGUGGGUACGGGCAGACUAGAGUGCGGUAGGGGAGAUUGGAAUUCCUGGUGUAGCGGUGGAAUGCGCAGAUAUCAGGAGGAACACCGAUGGCGAAGGCAGAUCUCUGGGCCGUAACUGACGCUGAGGAGCGAAAGCAUGGGGAGCGAACAGGAUUAGAUACCCUGGUAGUCCAUGCCGUAAACGUUGGGAACUAGAUGUAGGGACCAUUCCACGGUUUCUGUGUCGCAGCUAACGCAUUAAGUUCCCCGCCUGGGGAGUACGGCCGCAAGGCUAAAACUCAAAGGAAUUGACGGGGGCCCGCACAAGCGGCGGAGCAUGCGGAUUAAUUCGAUGCAACGCGAAGAACCUUACCAAGGCUUGACAUAUACGAGAACGGGCCAGAAAUGGUCAACUCUUUGGACACUCGUAAACAGGUGGUGCAUGGUUGUCGUCAGCUCGUGUCGUGAGAUGUUGGGUUAAGUCCCGCAACGAGCGCAACC
rnacentral:rRNA from 1 species